rnacentral:rRNA from 1 species
ACGAACGCUGGCGGCGUGCUUAACACAUGCAAGUCGAGCGAGGCCCCUCCUUCGGGAGGGUGUCCUAGCGGCGAACGGGUGAGUAACACGUGGGCAACCUGCCCUCAGCUCUGGGAUAACUCCGGGAAACCGGGGCUAAUACCGGAUACGACCUCCACGGGCAUCUGCGGAGGUGGAAAGUUUUUCGGCUGAGGAUGGGCCCGCGGCCUAUCAGCUAGUUGGUGGGGUAGUGGCCCACCAAGGCGACGACGGGUAGCCGGCCUGAGGGGGCGACCGGCCACACUGGGACUGAGACACGGCCCAGACUCCUACGGGAGGCAGCAGUGGGGAAUAUUGCGCAAUGGGCGAAAGCCUGACGCAGCGACGCCGCGUGAGGGACGAAGGCCUUCGGGUUGUAAACCUCUUUCAGCAGGGACGAAGCGAAAGUGACGGUACCUGCAGAAGAAGCACCGGCCAACUACGUG